CCUACGGGGGGCAGCAGUGGGGAAUAUUGGACAAUGGGGGCAACCCUGAUCCAGCCAUGCCGCGUGUGUGAAGAAGGCCCUCGGGUUGUAAAGCACUUUCAGUGAGGAAGAACGCCUGGUGGUUAAUACCCAUCAGGAAAGACAUCACUCACAGAAGAAGCACCGGCUAACUCCGUGCCAGCAGCCGCGGUAAUACGGAGGGUGCGAGCGUUAAUCGGAAUUACUGGGCGUAAAGCGCGCGUAGGUGGCUUGAUAAGCCGGUUGUGAAAGCCCCGGGCUCAACCUGGGAACGGCAUCCGGAACUGUCCAGCUAGAGGGCAGGAGAGGAAGGUAGAAGUCCCGGUGUAGCGGUGAAAUGCGUAGAGAUCGGGAGGAAUACCAGUGGCGAAGGCGGCCUUCUGGACUGACACUGACACUGAGGUGCGAAAGCGUGGGUAGCAAACAGGAUUAGAUACCCCGGUAGUC
rnacentral:rRNA from 1 species